rnacentral:rRNA from 1 species
GACGAACGCUGGCGGCGUGCUUAACACAUGCAAGUCGAACGGUAAGGCCCUUCGGGUACGACGAGUGGCGAACGGGUGAGUAACACGUGGUGAUCUGCCCUGCACUUCGGGAUAAGCCUGGGAAACUGGGUCUAAUACCGGAUAGGACCAUGGACUUCACGGUUUGUGGUGGAAAGCUUUUGCGGUGUGGGAUGGGCCCGCGGCCUAUCAGCUUGUUGGUGGGGUAAUGGCCUACCAAGGCGACGACGGGUGGCCGGCCUGAGAGGGUGUCCGGCCACACUGGGACUGAGAUACGGCCCAGACUCCUACGGGAGGCAGCAGUGGGGAAUAUUGCACAAUGGGCGCAAGCCUGAUGCAGCGACGCCGCGUGAGGGAUGACGG